rnacentral:lncRNA from 1 species
UGAGUACUUCCACUGAACAGAUUCUUUGCCAAAAUCUGAUUUUAAUCCAAAUCAGAUUAUUAUAAUAGUUCUCAGAAUAGAACUGCAAUUCAAAGCAUUUGUAACCUCAGUUUAAAAUAUAUAAAGCAUGCACAACACGUGGUGGGAAUCACAUGAAAAUAAUAGUCAUGGAUUGAACCAUUACUCCACUUUCCACCUUGUUGGAUACUCAGCAGCAAGAUUCUUUCAAAAUCCACUACUGGAAACCCAUACAUAUAUUUGGGAUAGUGGUCAGAAAAAAUAUGGAGUUCAACAGGCUGGGUCCAGAUUCCUCUUAAAAAAAGCUAUAUCCUAAUAUUAUACUUGGAUAUUCCAAGCUAUAAAUUGAAC